UACAGAGGUCUCAAGCGUUGUUCGGAUUCAUUGGGCGUAAAGGGUGCGUAGGCGGCGCGGUAAGUCGGGUGUGAAAUCUCGGAGCUUAACUCCGAAACUGCAUUCGAUACUGCCGUGCUUGAGGACUGGAGAGGAGACUGGAAUUUACGGUGUAGCGGUGAAAUGCGUAGAUAUCGUAAGGAAGACCAGUGGCGAAGGCGGGUCUCUGGACCCAAACUGACGCUGAGGAACGAAAGCGUGGGGAGCAAACAGG
rnacentral:rRNA from 1 species